AGUGAACGCUGGCGGUAGGCCUAACACAUGCAAGUCGAACGGCAGCACAGUAAGAGCUUGCUCUUACGGGUGGCGAGUGGCGGACGGGUGAGGAAUACAUCGGAAUCUACUUUUUCGUGGGGGAUAACGUAGGGAAACUUACGCUAAUACCGCAUACGACCUACGGGUGAAAGCAGGGAUCUUCGGACCUUGCGCGAUUGAAUGAGCCGAUGUCGGAUUAGCUAGUUGGCGGGGUAAAGGCCCACCAAGGCGACGAUCCGUAGCUGGUCUGAGAGGAUGAUCAGCCACACUGGAACUGAGACACGGUCCAGACUCCUACGGGAGGCAGCAGUGGGGAAUAUUGGACAAUGGGCGCAAGCCUGAUCCAGCCAUACCGCGUGGGUGAAGAAGGCCUUCGGGUUGUAAAGCCCUUUUGUUGGGAAAGAAAAGCAGCAGGUUAAUACCCCGCUGUUCUGACGGUACCCAAAGAAUAGGCACCGGCUAACUUCGCG
rnacentral:rRNA from 1 species